UGGGGGAUAUUGCACAAUGGGCGAAAGCCUGAUGCAGCGAAGCCGCGUGGGGGAUGAAGGCCUUCGGGUUGUAAACUUCUUUUGCUCUGAACAAGGCGCACCAUGGGGUGUGUUGAGUGUAGGGGUUGAUUAGCGCCGGCUAACUACGUGCCAGCAGCCGCGGUAAUACGUAGGGCGCGAGCGUUGUCCGGAAUUAUUGGGCGUAAAGGGCUUGUAGGUGGCUGGUUGCGUCUGUCGUGAAAGCUCAUGGCUUAACUGUGGGUUUGCGGUGGGUACGGGCUGGCUUGAGUGCCGUAGGGGAGGCUGGAAUUCCUGGUGUAGCGGUGGAAUGCGCAGAUAUCAGGAGGAAUACCGGUGGCGAAGGCGGGUCUCUGGGCUGUUACUGACACUGAGGAGCGAAAGCAUGGGGAGCGAACAGG
rnacentral:rRNA from 1 species